AGUAUCAUAGCCAAUGAAGUUAAUCUGAGGUGUGAUUAUUGCUAGUUGAAAACUUUUAAAAGAU
rnacentral:snRNA from 1 species